CAGUUCGGAUUGCAGGCUGCAACCCGCCUGUAUGAAGUUGGAAUCGCUAGUAAUCGCGGAUCAGCAUGCCGCGGUGAAUACGUUCCCGGGCCUUGUACACACCGCCCGUCACACCAUGAGAGUCGGGAACACCCGAAGUCCGUAGCCUAACCGCAAGGGGGCGCGGCCGAAGGUGGGUUCGAUAAUUGGGGUGAAGUCGUAACAAGGUACC
rnacentral:rRNA from 1 species